UCGGGGGUACACGAGCGGCGAACGGGUGAGUAACACGUGAGUAAUCUGCCCUUCACUUCGGGAUAAGCCUCGGAAACGGGGUCUAAUACCGGAUACGACACUUUUACGCAUGUAAUGGGUGUGGAAAGUUUUUUCGGUGGGGGAUGUGCUCGCGGCCUAUCAGCUUGUUGGUGGGGUAAUGGCCUACCAAGGCUUCGACGGGUAGCCGGCCUGAGAGGGUGACCGGCUACACUGGGACUGAGACACGGCCCAGACUCCUACGGGAGGCAGCAGUGGGGAAUAUUGGACAAUGGGCGGAAGCCUGAUCCAGCAACGCCGCGUGAGGGAUGACGGCCUUCGGGUUGUAAACCUCUUUCAGCGGGGACGAAACGCAAGUGACGGUACCCGCAGAAGAAGCACCGGCCAACUACGUGCCAGCAGCCGCGGUAAUACGUAGGGUGCGAGCGUUGUCCGGAAUUAUUGGGCGUAAAGGGCUCGUAGGCGGUUUGUCCGCGUCGGGAGUGAAAACGCCGGGCUUAACUCGGUGCUUGCUUUCGAUACGGGCAGACUAGAGGCAUGCAGGGGAGAACGGAAUUCCUGGUGUAGCGGUGAAAUGCGCAGAUAUCAGGAGGAACACCGGUGGCGAAGGCGGUUCUCUGGGCAUGUCCUGACGCUGAGGAGCGAAAGUGUGGGGAGCGAACAGGA
rnacentral:rRNA from 1 species